rnacentral:rRNA from 1 species
AUUGAACGCUGGCGGCAGGCCUAACACAUGCAAGUCGAACGGCAGCACAGAAGAGCUUGCUCUUUGGGUGGCGAGUGGCGGACGGGUGAGUAAUGUCUGGGAAACUGCCCGAUGGAGGGGGAUAACUACUGGAAACGGUAGCUAAUACCGCAUAACGUCGCGAGACCAAAGUGGGGGACCUUCGGGCCUCACACCAUUGGAUGUGCCCAGAUGGGAUUAGCUAGUAGGUGGGGUAAUGGCUCACCUAGGCGACGAUCCCUAGCUGGUCUGAAAGGAGGGCCAGCCACACUGGAACUGAGACCCGGUCCAGCCUCCUACGGGAGGUAGCAGUGGGGAAUAUUGCACACUGGGCGCAAGCCUGAUGCAGCCAUGCCGCGUGUAUGAAGAAGGCCUUCGGGUUGUAAAGUACUUUCAGCGAGGAGGAGGCUCUUUUGGUUAAUACCCAAGAUGAGUGGACGUUACUCGCAGAAUAAGCACCGGCUAACUCUGUGCCAGCCGCCGCGGUAA